rnacentral:rRNA from 1 species
GAGUUUGAUCGUGGCUCAGAUUGAACGCUGGCGGCAUGCCUUACACAUGCAAGUCGAACGGCAGCACGGGAGCUUGCUCCUGGUGGCGAGUGGCGAACGGGUGAGUAAUGCAUCGGAACGUAUCCUGGAGUGGGGGAUAACGUAGCGAAAGUCACGCUAAUACCGCAUAUUCUGUGAGCAGGAAAGCGGGGGACCUUCGGGCCUCGCGCUCUUGGAGCGGCCGAUGUCGGAUUAGCUAGUUGGUGAGGUAAAGGCUCACCAAGGCGACGAUCCGUAGCAGGUCUGAGAGGAUGAUCUGCCACACUGGAACUGAGACACGGUCCAGACUCCUACGGGAGGCAGCAGUGGGGAAUUUUGGACAAUGGGGGCAACCCUGAUCCAGCCAUGCCGCGUGAGUGAAGAAGGCC